rnacentral:rRNA from 1 species
GCUACGGGUGGCAGCAGUAGGGAAUAUUGGGCAAUGGAGGAAACUCUGACCCAGCAACGCCGCGUGAAUGAUGACGGUCCUCGGAUUGUUAAGUUCUUUUCUUAGGGAAGCAGAAAGUGCCGGUUCCUUCGGUAUAAGCCUCGGCUAACUACGUGCCAGCAGCCGCGGUAGUACGUGGGGGGCAAGCGGUACCCGGAAUGCGUGGGCGUAAAGGGGGCGUUGGUGUUUUGGCAAAGUGAUACCGUAACCCCCGGGCUCAACCCCGGCACUACUCGCAAACCUGGCGGACUGGAGUGGAGGAGAGGCAAAUGGAAUGUGUAGUGUAGCGGUGGAAUGCGUAGAUAUUAGGAGGAACACCAGUGGCGAAGGCGAUUUGCUGGACUGUAACUGACACUGAGGCACGAAAGCGUGGGGAGCAAACAGGAUUAGAUACCCUGGUAGUC